rnacentral:rRNA from 1 species
GACGAACGCUGGCGGCGUGCUUAACACAUGCAAGUCGAACGGUGAACUCGAGAGCUUGCUCUUGAGGGAUCAGUGGCGAACGGGUGAGUAACACGUGAGUAACCUGCCCCAGACUCUGGAAUAACACCUGGAAACAGGUGCUAAUACCGGAUACGACACGAACAGGCAUCUGUAUCGUGUGGAAAGUUUUUCGGUCUGGGAUGGACUCGCGGCCUAUCAGCUAGUUGGUGAGGUAAAGGCUCACCAAGGCGACGACGGGUAGCCGGCCUGAGAGGGGGACCGGCCACACUGGGACUGAGACACGGCCCAGACUCCUACGGGAGGCAGCAGUGGGGAAUAUUGCACAAUGGGCGAAAGCCUGAUGCAGCGACGCCGCGUGAGGGAUGACGGCCUUCGGGUUGUAAACCUCUUUCAGUAGGGAAGAAGCGAAAGUGACGGUACCUACAGAAGAAGCACCGGCUAACUACGUGCCAGCCGCCGCCGUAAAAC